rnacentral:rRNA from 1 species
AGCUCCACUAGUGUAAAUCGUCAUUGCUGAGGUUAAAAAGCUCGUAGUUGGAUCUGAGCCGUACACUUGGUUCGCCCUCACGGGUGUAACACGUAGUGACGGUUGAUUCGCUAGUUACCCUCUGGUCGAUUCGUCGCCUUUGGGAGGCUAGCAAUUUUACUUUGAAUAAAUCAGAGUGCUCAAAACAGGCGUUUGCCUGAAUACUGCAUCAUGGAAUAAUAGAAGAGGACUUCGGUUCUUUUUAUUGGUUCUAGAACUGAAUUAAUGAUUAAGAGGGACAAUUCGGGGGCAUUCGUAUCUCUGCGCGAGAGGUGAAAUUCGUGGACCGCAGAGGGACGCCCUAAAGCGAAAGCAUUUGCCAAGAAUGUUUUCA